GUUAAUACGUUGAAGAGAAGAGUAAAAUGCGGAAUAACCCAGAGAGGGAUUGGUGCUGGAAAUAUCCUGUUAGGAAACAUUUGAAAACUGCCUCUGAGUGACCCUAAUCCGGUCCGGUGAUCCCGUUAUCAUCAAAAUGAAGUGGUUUCUUAGAAACAAUCAGGGUGGAACCGCGAGUAAGAAUACUCGUCCCUGGA
rnacentral:ncRNA from 1 species